UAAAAUGAAAAUAUAAUUAGUUUCGACCUAAUUAAAGAUAAUUUAAUUUAUCCAUUUUAA
rnacentral:tRNA from 1 species